AAGAAAAAGAACAACAACAACAAAUAGAGAAGAAAAAGAAAAAGAAGAGAUUUUUGUGUUGUAUCAUCUCACUUUUAUUGGCAUUUGUUCCUGAUUCUCAUUCUCAUUA
rnacentral:ribozyme from 1 species